CCCCGACUAUGACAUCAUCAAAUAAAGCUUAUUGACAAAUUUGUAUUUACAUAAAUAAUGACUGGUGUCACACUGUUCACCCCUUCCGGAAUACAUGAGACCGCCUACCCCAUUUGUGUGGUUCGUUCAACUCGGUCUUUAUUUUUCUGUUUUGUAUUGGAUAGACUCUUUGUCUUUUUGUUCGUUAUCUUUUUUUUGCAUGGUGUUGUCAGAUGUCUUCGACUUAUGUUUUUUUUUUUUUACAUAAAUAAUAUGAGAGUUGUCACACGUGAAGUAGCAUCUGGUCAACCUUCCUGAGCAUAUGAGAUCCUUCCAGGUGAUUGGUAUAGUUCGUUUAGCUCAGUGUUAAGUUUUCUGUUUUGUGUUGUUGAGACUGUUGUUUGUCUUUUUGGUCGAUUUU
rnacentral:lncRNA from 1 species